rnacentral:rRNA from 1 species
GAUGAACGCUGGCGGCGUGCCUAAUACAUGCAAGUCGAGCGAACAGAUAAGGAGCUUGCUCCUUUGACGUUAGCGGCGGACGGGUGAGUAACACGUGGGUAACCUACCUAUAAGACUGGAAUAACUCCGGGAAACCGGGGCUAAUGCCGGAUAACAUUUAGAACCGCAUGGUUCUAAAGUGAAAGAUGGUUUUGCUAUCACUUAUAGAUGGACCCGCGCCGUAUUAGCUAGUUGGUAAGGUAACGGCUUACCAAGGCAACGAUACGUAGCCGACCUGAGAGGGUGAUCGGCCACACUGGAACUGAGACACGGUCCAGACUCCUACGGGAGGCAGCAGUAGGGAAUCUUCCGCAAUGGGCGAAAGCCUGACGGAGCAACGCCGCGUGAGUGAUGAAGGUCUUCGGAUCGUAAAACUCUGUUUUUAGGGAAGAACAAAUGUGUAAGUAACUGUGCACGUCUUGACGGUACCUAAUCAGAAAGCCACGGCUAACUACGUG